rnacentral:rRNA from 1 species
AUUGAACGCUGGCGGCAGGCCUAACACAUGCAAGUCGAACGAGUGGCGGACGGGUGAGUAAUGUCUGGGAAACUGCCUGAUGGAGGGGGAUAACUACUGGAAACGGUAGCUAAUACCGCAUACCAUCGGAUGUGCCCAGAUGGGAUUAGCUGGUGGGUGGGGUAAAGGCUCACCUAGGCGACGAUCCCUAGCUGGUCUGAGAGGAUGACCAUCCAAACUGGAACUGAGAAACGGUCCAGACUCUGACGGGAGGCAGAAGUGGGAAAUAUUGCACAAGGGGCGAAAGCCUGAGGCAGCCAUGCAGCGGGUAGGAAGAGGGCCUUCGGGUUGUAAAGUACUUUCAGCGGGGAGGCGUUACCCGCAGAAGAAGCACCGGCUAACUCCGUGCCAGCCGCCGCGGUAAUUC